rnacentral:rRNA from 1 species
UGGUGCUUGCACCGAGCGGAGGAGUUGCGAACGGGUGAGUAACGCGUAGGUAACCUGCCUCUUAGCGGGGGAUAACUAUUGGAAACGAUAGCUAAUACCGCAUAAAAGUCGACAUUGCAUGAUGUUGACUUGAAAGGUGCAAAUGCAUCACUAAGAGAUGGACCUGCGUUGUAUUAGCUAGUUGGUGAGGUAACGGCUCACCAAGGCGACGAUACAUAGCCGACCUGAGAGGGUGAUCGGCCACACUGGGACUGAGACACGGCCCAGACUCCUACGGGAGGCGGCAGUAGGGAAUCUUCGGCAAUGGGGGCAACCCUGACCGAGCAACGCCGCGUGAGUGAAGAAGGUUUUCGGAUCGUAAAGCUCUGUUGUAAGAGAAGAACGAGUGUGAGAGUGGAAAGUUCACACUGUGACGGUAACUUACCAGAAAGGGACGGCUAACUACGUGCCAGCAGCCGCGGUAAUACGUAGGUCCCGAGCGUUAUCCGGAUUUAUUGGGCGUAAAGCGAGCGCAGGCGGUUAGAUAAGUCUGAAGUUAAAGGCUGUGGCUUAACCAUAGUACGCUUUGGAAACUGUUUAACUUGAGUGCAGAAGGGGAGAGUGGAAUUCCAUGUGUAGCGGUGAAAUGCGUAGAUAUUAGGAAGAACACCAGUGGCGAA